CUUAGUCUUAGCUCGCUCCACUCCUCAUUCGAGAGUGAUUGAAGUUUGAAAAUGUCCAUUGCUGUCAAUGCACAAGUGGUGAUAAGGUACGGAACUCUUCCAUUUAUAUGAGAUCAUACCUCCUGAUUUUGCUGGUUUCUUAAAGAUGUCCAUGUCUGUCUUCUGUCAUGUCCUUAAUGUCCAUAUGUCGUCCAAGGUGCUGAUGUAUUCUUCCGUUUCCAUUUUCAUUGCAGUAGAUAUGUCGUCACUACUGGGAUAUUGGACCUCUGCUUUCAUCACUCUGUAGCAUCGAUAAAGUGGCAAAUACUCUACGGAUGAACCUGUUGCCACACUUGUUGCUGUUGCACUGCUAUUUGGUGAGGCUGGUCUGAAUAUGAAAUGUUUAUCAGUGGUGAUGCACAGCUUGCAGGAAUGAUAAGACCUACAAUUCUUUGUCCUUCAGUACUCAAAACAAUUUCACUUUUGUGGAUGGUUCCCAGAGUUGUCCAUUUACCAUCUUAAAUGGUAUUACCAAACUGAGCAGUCCUUUUGAAAUGCACAUUACAUAAUGUCUUUGGAAUCUGUCCUGAAAUUAUGCAAGACAUGACUACAUCUGGCACUGUCAAGUAAUCCACAGCAACAUCUCUGCUUUUUGUCACUCUGUAGCAUCGAUGAAGUGGCGAAUACUCUGCAGAUGAAGCUGUUGCCACAUUUGUUGCUGUUGCACUAUUUGGUGAAGCUGGUCUGAAGAUGAAAGGUGGUGUACCAGUGGUGAUGCACAAAGACCUACAAUUCUUUGUCCACCUUUACUAAUUAAAAGUGAACAAUUUGCAUUUUUACAUUUACUGCACUAUCAGAUCCUAGAAUACAUUCAGCUUUGGUUCCCACACUUAGUAAGGAGCUGCAAAGAACAUGGUAUGUGACAACCCACUCCGAUUUCACAAGGUAAUCUCACACCUGCUUUUUUGCAGUUGCCUCUCCAAUAUGCAUGAGUGCACAUUUCAGCUGACUACUUGUACAGAUCCACACAGUGAGGCAUAGCAUCAUCAGAUGACUUGUACAGAUCACCCAAUGAGGCAUAGCAUCAUCAGAUGACACCUUUUUGUACUUCUUCCUUAGAUUACUGUACGUCUCCAACUUGAGUUGUUUCCCAAUGUUUGCAGAAAAUUUGAAAGGGGUCAUCCAGUGUUUCACUUUUCACAAAUUUCAACAAAUAACUGACUUUAUUAAUAGUGGCAAUGUUUAUUCAUAAAACCUGUUCACAAGGGUGCAGCCAGGCACAGACCUUUGCAGAAUUCAAGCAUAUUUGUCCUAGUUCUUGUUGUACUUGGUUUCCAUAUCAGGAGGUGUAGGCUGUCAGGCCAAGAUUUUUCUUUUGUGUAAUAAACAAACCUUCUGAACAUAA